UGGGGAAUAUUGCACAAUGGGGGAAACCCGUGAUGCAGCAACGCCGCGUGAGUGAAGAAGUAUUUCGGUAUGUAAAGCUCUACCAGCAGGGAAGAAAAUGACGGUACCUGACUAAGAAGCCCCGGCUAACUACGUGCCAGCAGCCGCGGUAAUACGUAGGGGGCAAGCGUUAUCCGGAUUUACUGGGUGUAAAGGAAGCGCAGGCGGCGAAGCAAGCCAGAGGUGAAAACCCGGGGCUCAACCCCGAGGAUUGCCUUUGGAACUGUUUUGCUUGAGUGCUGGAGGGGCAGGCGGAAUUCCUGGUGUAGCGGUGAAAUGCGUAGAUAUCAGGAGGAACACCGGUGGCGAAGGCGGCCUGCUGGACAGUAACUGACGGUGAGGCGCGAAAGCGUGGGGAGC
rnacentral:rRNA from 1 species